AACGGAGGAAAAGAAACCAACAGGGAUUGCCCUAGUAACGGCGAGUGAAGCGGCAACAGCUCAAAUUUGAAAUCUGGCUUCGGCCCGAGUUGUAAUUUGUAGAGGAAGCUUUAGGCGCGGCACCUUCUGAGUCCCCUGGAACGGGGCGCCAUAGAGGGUGAGAGCCCCGUAUAGUUGGAUGCCUAGCCUGUGUAAAGCUCCUUCGACGAGUCGAGUAGUUUGGGAAUGCUGCUCAAAAUGGGAGGUAAAUUUCUUCUAAAGCUAAAUAUUGGCCAGAGACCGAUAGCGCACAAGUAGAGUGAUCGAAAGAUGAAAAGCACUUUGAAAAGAGGGUUAAAUAGCACGUGAAAUUGUUGAAAGGGAAGCGCUUGUGACCAGACUUGCGCCGGGCGGAUCAUCCGGUGUUCUCACCGGUGCACUCCGCCCGGCUCAGGCCAGCAUCGGUUCUCGUGGGGGGAUAAAGGCCCUGGGAACGUAGCUCCUCCGGGAGUGUUAUAGCCCAGGGUGUAAUGCCCUCGCGGGGACCGAGGUUCGCGCAUCUGCAAGGAUGCGCGAAGACGGGAGGU
rnacentral:rRNA from 1 species